UACGUAGGUGGCAAGCGUUGUCCGGAUUUAUUGGGUUUAAAGGGUGCGUAGGCGGUCCUAUAAGUCAGUGCUGAAAUAUCCCGGCUUAACCGGGAGGGUGGCAUUGAUACUGCAGGACUUGAGUGAAGUCGAGGCAGGCGGAAUUGACGGUGUAGCGGUGAAAUGCUUAGAUAUCGUCAAGAACACCGAUAGUGAAGACAGCUUACUAGACUUCAACUGACGCUGAGGCACGAAAGUGUGGGGAUCAAACAGG
rnacentral:rRNA from 1 species